rnacentral:rRNA from 1 species
GAUGAACGCUGGCGGCGUGCCUAAUACAUGCAAGUCGAGCGAACGGACGAGAAGCUUGCUUCUCUGAUGUUGGCGGCGGACGGGUGAGGAACACGUGGAUAACCUACCUAUAAGUCUGGGAUGGCUUCGUGAGACCGGAGCUAAUACCGGAUGAUAUUUUGAACCGCAUGGUUCAAAAGUGAAAUACGGUCUUGCUGUCACUUAUAGAUGGAUCGGUGCUGGAUUAGCUAGUUGGUGGGGGAAAGGCCCACCAAGGCGACGAUGCGUAGCCGGUCUGAGAGGAUGAGCAGCCACAGUGGAACUGAGACACGGUCCAGACUCCUACGGGAGGCAGCAGUGGGGAAUAUUGGACAAGGGGCGCAAGCCUGAUCCAGCCAUACCGCGUGGGUGAAGAAGGCCUUCGGGUUGUAAAGCCCUUUUGUUGGGAAAGAAAAGCAGCAGGUUAAUACCCCGCUGUUCUGACGAUACCCAAAGAAUAAGCAGCGGCUAACUUCG